rnacentral:misc_RNA from 1 species
GAAUUUCAUGUACUUUAUGUGGUAGGACAUGCAUCAAUCAAUAAUCCAAAUUACAAUCGUAGGUAACAUGAUUAACAAUCAGAAUUCAUUCAUUGUGCAUACAAUAGCUAUAUAUGAUAUCUUCGCUGUUAAGAGGCAUGAAUAUGUCUCGGCCAUUAAACGCCUUUUGAUGAAAACUAAUAGUGCCCUUAAAAAGAAAGUCUUCCUCAGAUUUCACGAUUACAGCAAUUGCAAGAUCCAACUGCCAAACUGUAUCCACCCCAAAACUAUAAAAAGGGACAGAAAAAAACCACUAUUGAAACUAUAGUGAUUAAAUCGCGAUUACAUUUUUUAGCUGCUAAAAUGCUCAAGCAUAACACCAUUUGAGCCUCAAAUGGAAGAUUGCUUUGGCAAUGGCAUCCUUUUACAUAUGAUGAAAGAAGUAAGAAGCCAACUGAAGCGUAAACUUUUCAUGAUGCCCUAUUCUGAGCCAAGUCACUGGUCGAUCCAGUCUUUGA